rnacentral:rRNA from 1 species
CCUUAACCUGGCCUUGACAUACUAAGAACUUUCCAGAGAUGGAUUGGUGCCUUCGGGAACUUAGAUACAGGUGCUGCAUGGCUGUCGUCAGCUCGUGUCGUGAGAUUGUUGGGUUAAGUCCCCGCAACGAGCGCAACCCUUUUCCUUAUUGCCAGCGGGUUAAGCCGGGAACUUUUAAGGAUACUGCCAGUGACAAACUGGAGGAAGGCGGGGACGACGUCAAGUCAUCAUGGCCCUUACGGCCAGGGCUACACACGUGCUACAAUGGUCGGUACAAAGGGUUGCUACCUCGCGAGAGGAUGCUAAUCUCAAAAAGCCGAUCGUAGUCCGGAUCGCAGUCUGCAACUCGACUGCGUGAAGUCGGAAUCGCUAGUAAUCGCGGAUCAGAAUGCCGCGGUGAAUACGUUCCCGGGCCUUGUACACACCGCCCGUCACACCAUGGGAGUUUGUUGCACCAGAAGUAGGUAGUCUAACCGCAAGGAGGACGCUUACCACGGUGUGGCCGAUGACUGGGGUGAAGUCGUAACAAGGUAAGCGUAGAUGA